rnacentral:rRNA from 1 species
UACGAAGGGGGCGAGCGUUGUUCGGAAUUACUGGGCGUAAAGCGUGCGCAGGCGGUUCUCCAAGUCCGUUGUGAAAGCCCCGGGCUCAACCUGGGAAUGGCAGUGGAAACUAGGGGACUGGAAUCUGGCAGAGGGGGGUGGAAUGCCGCGUGUAGCAGUGAAAUGCGUAGAGAUGCGGCGGAACACCGAUGGCGAAGGCAGCCCCCUGGGCUGAGAUUGACGCUCAGGCACGAAAGCGUGGGGAGCAAACAGG